AAUGACUUCCGGUUGUAGUAAGACGUCUCGUCCCGCUUGGGAGGCGGGACUUUGAUAUGGCUUCCAUCGAUAGCACCCACAAUGUUUGG
rnacentral:ribozyme from 1 species